rnacentral:rRNA from 1 species
GACGAACGCUGGCGGCGUGCUUAACACAUGCAAGUCGAACGGUGAACUCCGCUUGCGGGGGGAUCAGUGGCGAACGGGUGAGUAACACGUGGGCAACCUGCCCUCAGCUCUGGGAUAACUCCAAGAAAUUGGGGCCAAUACCGGAUAUGACCGCUGACCGCAUGGUCUGGUGGUGGAAAGAUUUAUCGGCUGGGGAUGGGCCCGCGGCCUAUCAGCUUGUUGGUGGGGUAGUGGCCUACCAAGGCGACGACGGGUAGCCGGCCUGAGAGGGUGACCGGCCACACUGGGACUGAGACACGGCCCAGACUCCUACGGGAGGCAGCAGUGGGGAAUAUUGCGCAAUGGGCGAAAGCCUGACGCAGCGACGCCGCGUGGGGGAUGACGGCCUUCGGGUUGUAAACCUCUUUCAGCAGGGACGAAGCGAAAGUGACGGUACCUGCAGAAGAAGCACCGGCCAACUACGUG